rnacentral:tRNA from 2 species
GGAGUGGUAGUUCAGCUGGUUAGAACGCCUGCCUGUCACGCAGGAGGUCGCGGGUUCGAGUCCCGUCCAUUCCG